rnacentral:misc_RNA from 1 species
UUGAAAUUGAAAUUGGAAAGCAACUAAAACUGAGUAAUUUGGCUGACAAUAUAUCCAAUUUAUAUCCAACAGAGUGAGAAUAAUAUAUCCAAUUCGUAUCUACGAAGGAAAGCUCUGGAACUCUCACCAUGCCAAGACAGUGAGAAGGAAGCAAAUUUCCGAUUUUACGUUGUCUCGCCUCCCAAUCCAAGUUAUAGUAGAGCCACCCUAACUGCAAAUCCUAUUGGUUCCAUAGAAGGAAAUGACUA